rnacentral:rRNA from 1 species
AACGAACGCUGGCGGCAUGCCUAACACAUGCAAGUCGAACGAGACCUUCGGGUCUAGUGGCGCACGGGUGCGUAACGCGUGGGAACCUGCCCUUAGGUUCGGAAUAACUCCCCGAAAGGGGUGCUAAUACCGGAUCAUGUCUUCGGACCAAAGAUUUAUCGCCUUUGGAUGGGCCCGCGUUGGAUUAGCUAGUUGGUAGGGUAAAAGCCUACCAAGGCGACGAUCCAUAGCUGGUCUGAGAGGAUGAUCAGCCACACUGGGACUGAGACACGGCCCAGACUCCUACGGGAGGCAGCAGUGGGGAAUAUUGGACAAUGGGCGAAAGCCUGAUCCAGCAAUGCCGCGUGAGUGAUGAAGGCCUUAGGGUUGUAAAGCUAUUUUACCCGGGAUGAUAAUGACAGUACCGGGAGAAUAAGCUCCGGCUAACUCCGUG